UACGAAGGGGGCUAGCGUUGCUCGGAAUUACUGGGCGUAAAGGGCGCGUAGGCGGACAGUUUAGUCAGAGGUGAAAGCCCAGGGCUCAACCUUGGGAUUGCCUUUGAUACUGGCUGUCUUGAGUUCGGGAGAGGUGAGUGGAAUGCCGAGUGUAGAGGUGAAAUUCGUAGAUAUUCGGCGGAACACCAGUGGCGAAGGCGACUCACUGGCCCGAUACUGACGCUGAGGCGCGAAAGCGUGGGGAGCAAACAGG
rnacentral:rRNA from 1 species